rnacentral:rRNA from 1 species
UCCCCUACGGGGGGCAGCAGUAGGGAAUCUUCCACAAUGGACGAAAGUCUGAUGGAGCAACGCCGCGUGAGUGAAGAAGGGUUUCGGCUCGUAAAGCUCUGUUGGUAGUGAAGAAAGAUAGAGGGAGUAACUGGCCUUUAUUUUACGGUAAUUACUUAGAAAGUCACGGCUAACUACGUGCCAGCAGCCGCGGUAAUACGUAGGUGGCAAGCGUUUUCCGGAUUUAUUUGGCGUAAAGCGAGGGCAGGCGGGU